GACACGGAUCCCGUCGGUGCUUNGUGAUGCGCUCUCGACGAGUCGAGUUGUUUGGGAAUGCAGCUCAAAUAGGGUGGUAAACUCCAUCUAAAGCUAAAUACAGGCGAGAGACCGAUAGCGAACAAGUACCGUGAGGGAAAGACGAAAAGAACUUUGAAAAGAGAGUUAAACAGUACGUGAAAUCGUUGAAAGGGAAACGCUUGACGUCAGUCUCGUCGGUCGGGGAUCAACCUAGGUCGCUGGGUGCACUUCCCGCUCCGACGGGUCAGCAUCAGUUUCGGAUCCCGUCGUACAAGGGCCGAGGGUGAAUGUGCCACGCUCCGGCGUGUGUUAUAGCCUCUCGUCGUAUGCGGCGGUCGGGACUGAGGAACUCGGCACCGAACAUAAGGUGUCUAGGAUGCUGGCAUAAUGGCUUUAAGCGACCCGUCUUGAAACACGGACCAAGGAGUCCAACAUGCCUGCGAGUGUUUGGGUGCAAAACUCCGAGCGCGAAAUGAAAGUGAAAGUCGAGACCUUCGUCACUGGAGGGCACCGACGCCCGGAUCGAACGUCUUCUGACGUCCUCUCUGCGGUAGAGCAUGCAUGUUGGGACCCGAAAGAUGGUGAACUAUGCCUGAAUAGGGUGAAGCCAGAGGAAACUCUGGUGGAGGCUCGNAGCGAUUCUGACGUGCAAAUCGAUCGUCAAAUUUGGGUAUAGGGGCGAAA
rnacentral:rRNA from 1 species